rnacentral:lncRNA from 1 species
GUGUGCAAUCUAUGCAUUUAUGUGGGCCCCAAACUCAGGAAGCCUCAUGCUUGGUUUAAUGCUCUGCUGUUGCCAUCUUGAAGGUUUUUAUAAGCUUCAACAAGGAUCUCUGCCUGUUCUUUUUGCUCUGGACUCCACAAAUUAUAUAGACUCUCGUGAUUGUGGCUAUUUUGUUCCCGUCUCUUCAGUGGCAGUCUGAGUAACUUUAUUUCAUGAUGCUAUUUGCCCGGAAACCUUUAAGUCAUUAUGAAGUCUGAUGUACCCCCAGGUUGACUCAGCUCCCCAGGCCCUGAUAGUGUUGGAAAUUGCGGUGACCGAUGGAAUAAAGCCUUAUCAGAGAAAAGAGUGUCCUAAAUUCUCUAUUUCUCUAACUUUCCUCCAGUUGGCAAUGCGUAAUAUCAAACAAGUAAAGACAUUUAAAAAACAAACAGACAAACCUGGAUACUCAAACUGCGUGUGACUCUGAAGUGGAAUCAGUCUGGGUUGCUGUCUGGAUCUCACCGAGGUGAACCCUUGCACACACUCCUGAGCUCUCAUGUUAAGGACACGCUUCCAGUAGCUGUCACCGUCCCUUUUGGGAACUUGGGAUCACAGGUGGCAACAUUGCUGACAUCUUUGUGUGUUGCCACACUUUUUCUUCUGGCUGAACGUUACAGGUGUGGAUUUGGGCAGCCCAUCAAUGUGUUGCAUCUGGAUCAAGAGAUCUCAAUAAGGGUUCCAUUAGGCCCUGAAGCCGUCUCAUUUCUCAGCCCUGUCUGGGCUUUGCACAUUCCCUCAUGAAAAAAGAGGGUUUGGCGAUUAUCAUCUCUACCUGUAGCUUCUCCUGGACAAAUGCAUCCCUUAUUAUGGUAGAAAUCUAGUCAAUAUAGCUGUCAGGGAGUUCCUGUCGGGGCUCAGAGGUUAAUGAACCUGACUGGUAUCCCUGAGGACGCUGAUUCAGUCCCGGGCUUUGCUCAGUGUUACUGGGUUAAAGAUCCAGCGUUGCCAUGAGCUGUGGUGUAGCUCACAGAUGCAGCUCAGAUUCCGUGUUGCUGUGGCUGUGGUGUAGGCUGGCAGAUGUAGCUCGGAUUCCACCCCUAGCCUGGGAACCUCCUUAGGCCAUGGGUUUGGCCCUAAAGAGACAAAACAUAAAAAAAUUUUUUAUUUUUUUAUAAAAAAUAAAGCUGUCAGAAUUCUUAAACUAUUGACA